AUGCACGCUGGCGGCGUGCCUCAUCCCUGCCAGUCGAGCGAACAGACGAGGAGCUUGCUCCUUUGACGUUAGCGGCGGCCGGGUGAGUAACACGUGGAUAACCUACCUAUAAGACUGGGAUAACUUCGGGAAACCGGAGCUAAUACCGGAUAACAUGUUGAACCGCAUGGUUCAACAGUGAAAGACGGUCUUGCUGUCACUUAUAGAUGGAUCCGCGCCGCAUUAGCUAGUUGGUAAGGUAACGGCUUACCAAGGCAACGAUGCGUAGCCGACCUGAGAGGGUGAUCGGCCACACUGGAACUGAGACACGGUCCAGACUCCUACGGGAGGCAGCAGUAGGGAAUCUUCCGCAAUGGGCGAAAGCCUGGCGGAGCAACGCCGCGUGAGUGAAGAAGGUCUUCGGAUCGUAAAACUCUGUUAUUAGGGAAGAACAAAUGUGUAAGUAACUAUGCACGUCUUGACGGUACCUAAUCAGAAAGCCACGGCUAACUACGUG
rnacentral:rRNA from 1 species